CAGGAAACCGAAUUUCAGCCCGGCGAGAGCAGCACGAGUACUACAGGAGCGAUUCGGGCUCAGCUCCUUAACCCUCACACAAAGUCUCUUCCCGCUGCCCCCGCGCCCCGUUUUCCACAGAGACAACUUUCCAGGGCUCUGGGGCUCCGAGGGGGUGUGUGCACGGCACAGGGGCCGCCCAAGGCUCCCCCCGAGCGCUCCGGGUGCCGCUGCUGGGUGCUGGGGUGGGCUCCGGCCGCCGUGCCCGGACCGAGCCCCGCAGCCGCCGAGCCCCGGGCCGGGCCGGGCCGGGCCGGGCGGCGGGGCCGGAGCGCGGAGCGCGGAUCGCGGCGCUUUAACCAGGAGGUUGACAACUCAGCAAGGUGUCUGUGUCCCAAAGGGAUGGGAGUCCCUGGCCAUGCAGACGAGGCAUAAAGAGUUUGGGAAUAUUUCCUAAAGGAAACCUGAGUCAAUGCCAGAACAAUUCCCAGCUGAAAGAACUGUGAGUAUCACCAGCUUCUUUCAGUACAUCCUCGAAAAUGGACCUUCUGUGGUGGAAAAAAGAUCUCCAAAGUGGGAUUUUUUGAUCUGUGUCUCAGGUUUGUUGUGCUCUGGCAUGCUGUAGGGCCAGCUUCCAAUUGGCCCCUUCCAAAUAUCACCCGAGGCAUCUGUAUGGCCAUUUGUCACCAAGAAAAUCCAGUCCAAGAGACCAGCAACCCCAGCAGCAAUCCCCAGGAAAAGCACAGCAUGUGGCCCACGUUCCACAGUCUCUUCCAGCACAUCUCCACUAAGUAAUUCCCAUCAAAGCUGCAGCAGUUGUUAAUAUCUACAAUUUAUUUUUUUUUCCCUCUGUAAAGGUGUAUUUAUAACUGCAUUUUACCCCCCUCUCAUAAAAUACAGAGCACCAACUUUCCUUCCUCAGUUGGGAUGUACAGCAGCAAACCUUGCUGAUGUGGUGCUGCUGUAAUCACUUAGGAACUCAUAAGUUACUAACUCUUGAGUUAUUAAAACUGAAUUAAGCAGAGCUAAGGAUGGACAGGUGAAAAAUUGGAGUGAAUAUUCUGUUUCUCCCCGUGAUGCUGCCUUGCCACAUUUCCCCAUCUCUCUUUCUGCACGGGUAAAAUGGUCCUGGCGACCUUCCUGUGCUGCACGUCCCUCGGGACCACGAAAACAAACCCAUUAAUGUUUAUAAAGUGUCUCAGACUGGGGGAAUUACAUCACUGCAGCAAGAUACAAGCUUAAUGGAUCAAAACAAACCCCAGCUCCAAACCCCCCAGCUUAGACACAUCUCAGUUACCCGGCUCAAGCCUCGAGGAAUCCCACUGAGAAGGGAUAAUUGAGAGAAAAAUGUGAUCCUGGAGAUUUUUUCUGCAGUAAACCCAUUUUACAUUAAUAGGAAGCAGAUUUCUAGACCCCUUUGCAAACGAAUGACUUCCACUGCAUAUUUCACAGCUGAGCGCAUCCGUGGCACCAGCUUUGGACGCGGGGCUAUUAAACCCAACAUUUGUUUAAUGAAUUACAGCAGUCCAUGAAUCCGCCUGUGUUUAAAUGUUUAUUGGGAAGGCGUCAGCAGCCAGCUCUGAGUGAGCAGGUAUCAGCCUCAGUGAUGAGCUCUGGCUGCAAUGGACCCAAAACUUUGAACAUGUUUUUGCUUUCUUAUCAAAGGCAGAUUACCCAGGAGGUUCAGGGUCUCUGCUAAACAUAAAACUGCUUGGAUUCAGUGCAAGUUUGGGGUGUUUUCUCCCUGAUGAUGAGCUGUGUGAGAGAGAUAAACUGUUGUGCAUCUCCCACCUGGCUGGGGUUGGACCCUGCUGCUGAAGGGUGGAUUAAGCCAUUAAAACUCACACAUUCAAGCAAGGUUGAUGUGCUGCAGACAUUUUCAAGAUGACCCCACUCUUACCUCACCAGUCAAUCUAUAAACCUUGAAAAAAAAAAUUAACUCUGGUUCACCCUAUUUUAACGCAUUACCCACUGCAAACUUCAUGGCACAUCGAGACAGUAGUGAUGAUGUGCUGUGAUCAUUUUGCUUUCCUGCAAAAUACCUCUGAUUUAUUGUGGUCUCCACCUCAGAAAUCCCCAGCCAGGAGCAGUUUCUACAGAGUCACAGGAUGGUUUGGGCUGGAAGAGACCCUAAGGACCAUCUCAUCCCACCCCCUGCCAUGGGCAGGGACAUCUUCCACUGUCCCAGACUGCUCCAAUCCCUGUCCAUCCUGGCCUUGGACACUUCCAGGGAUGCAGGGGCAGCCACAGCUUCUCUGUGCCAGGGCCUCCCCACCCUCACAGUUAUGAAUUUCUUCCUCAUAUCCAGUCUAACCCUGCCCUCCAGCAGUGGGAAACCAUUCCCCCUUGUGCUGUCAUUUCAGGUGAAGUCUGUAAGAAAUGCCAUUUCCCCUCCUUUCCCCAUCACAAAUUCGGGAGCAAAGAUGUGGUUGGGCUUUUCCAGAACUGCUGGGGUGAUUUGGGAGAUCAGGUCCUGCUGACCCCCCAAGCCUUCCCUGUCCUCUUGGGAAGGGGAGAAUGGGGAGGGGGCAGAGACAGGGAUCAUGUGAAAACCUCAAUGAACAGGGAGAAUGUGAAGCACUCAGCAGGAUAAUAGAUACCGUGAAAAAAAUAAUCCUGCGAUCAAUCAGCAGACAAAUACAUACUUAAAUUAGGUGUUAGUGGGACAGAUGCAGGAAAGGUGAUUAUGGGUUUGUCUCCGUGUUUCCCUCAGCAACAAUGAUGCCAGCAGAGGUGGGUCACCCUACCCUGCCAUUAAUGGAGCAUCAGCAUUCAUCUGACAGCUCCUUUGUCCUGGGAAGUCAAUUCUAUGAGGAUUUGACAUUAGCAGAGGCACGGUGAAACUCAGGCGCCUUUGCAUUUUCAGACCCUCCAGAUGCUUUAGCCUGAUGAAUUACAAGUAGGAUCGCUGUCCUGAUUUGGGCAGGGGGCAGAAAUAAAUGUUUGCUCCCAUCUGUUUCAGCUGUGGCAAUAAACACCACCAGCAGAACCAGUGGAAGAGCAGCCCUUUGCUCCCUUCCCAGAAAACAAAACUGGAAACGGGGCAGAGCACACGGGAAGGGUCAGCUGGAGCAUCCUGGGAAUGGAAGGUGCUACAGAGAAAUGUGAUUUUUAAAAAUUACAGUAUUUGUCAAGUAAGCGAAAGACAAGAUCUCAAGGGUGGUUCAGCCCUCUAAAGUAAUCCUAAAAUUAAUUCAGAAAUGGAGAACUCCGGAUUGUAACGGAGAGGGGCUUUAACACGCACAGCACACUGUCCCCCAUUGGCACCCAGCAGGAAGGGAGCACGCCAGCAUCCACAAAAUUCCCACGGGUGUUUCAGGGACAAAACAGCCCAAUCCAGGCAAGAGUGAAACUUAAUUUAGUCCUUCCCUUUCCUUUCAGGUGAAAGAACAGCAGUUCUGCUCUAAGUGAGCAUCACCCUCCUCUGUUCUGUCAGUGGCACCGAGCCUGGGUCACGCCUGGUUUGGGGACCACCCCACUGCCAAACCAUCCCUUUUCACAACAACAGAACGUGCUGGGGAGUGUGGAACAAUAAAAAUAGCCUUUCCCCCCCAAUCCCUGUUUUCCCUGGUUUAAUCCCAAAUGCUACCAGCGGGGUGGACUAAUCCUGUAUUGCAUAAGAUUACAAACCUACAAUUACAGUCCCCACUAACCUGUAAAAGACUUAAAAAUACACCUAGAUAGAGUUUCAGCAUUGAGAAGGCAGCUGAAAAAUUGGCAUUACAUUUCUACAUAUGCAUAUUCCUUUAAAUACAAUCAGGUUUUAAGGGAUUCUUCGAAUCUGUGAAUUUGAUGUCCAUUUCUUGAAUGGUUUGUAGCAUGGGUUGGCUGGAGCCAGCUACUCUGCAAAAAAAGAUCACUUUUCCAGGAUUGAGGGAAAUCCCUCUACAUCAGAUAAUUCACAAGAUAAUUCAUAAUUCUUUCUCUCAGGUUAGGUAGGAGGACACUGCAGGUAUUGUUUCAGAGGAUGGGGAAACUGAGGAGCAGAUGGGCUGGAGCAGGGUGUGACCAAGGUCCAGUGGGAGAGGGCACCUGCAACCCAUGAAACAGAGUGAGGCUUUCCAGUUAAAUCAGGAACAAUUCCUUCAUCUCACCGUGAUUUACCCUAAAGGAACACCCAGCCACAAAGGGCAGGGAACAUGUGUCUUCUAAUAAAGUCUCUUUAACUUUGACAUAGAUUACUUCUAAAAAGCCCCCAUCAAACCACACCAAGUACAGGAAUGUGAUGAAGUAUCUCGGUACAAAAUCUAUUCCGAGGCGAUUAUCAGCCUUUGAAAAAUUCAGGCUCUAAGUCAGUUCAUGGCAGGGAUCAAAUUGAGCUGCUGUCAACUCAUUUGGGCAUUUUACUUUGCUUCUGAUAUCUGACAGUUAAAAUAAUCUCAAAUAGUUCCCAUUAUUCCUGCGUUUUCUGCUUCUUACCCCAGGGAAGGGCCAUGCAGCCAGGCUCCCAUCCCAGCCACCUCCCAGCCUGCAGCAUCCCUCCCCAGCCCUGCCUGGGGGGAAUCCCAAGACUGCCACAGCUUCCUGGUCACUUCCUCCACGUUGGGGAAAAAUUGUAGCUACGGCUGAUCAGCUCUGAGCCGCCACAGGCAGACCCAGGUCCCUGGGGCUGAGCUCCAGCUGCUGCUGGGAGCACUCUGUGGUCCCAGCUGGGCUGCACUGGACAUCAGCUGGAAUGCCAGGAGGAGCUCAGUCCUCUCAGAGAGAAGGCUUGGAGCAUUAUCUUCUGCUAAUGCAGGACAGAAAUCAAAUGAAGAUGUCAAAACUGUGUUCCCCCUGCCUCAGGCAAAACAGAGCCAUGGUGACCCCCAAGUUCUUCCAAAGGGGAUCUCGGUUUGUGUGAAGGAAAAGCAUCUCCAGCAUCCUCAUAACUGAGGGCAGCGCGGGAUGAAAAGGAAAAUCAGAGGAAAAUAAUGGUGUCAGGAUCUGGAUCUGAGAUCUGCAGCUUUAAAGGAGAGAAAAGCCGGGGAGAUCCCAGCCUCAGGGUGCAAGAUGUGUUGAAAUACAGAUGUUAAUCAGGAACAGGUGGUACCUCAUGUGGGUUCAGUAGCAACAUUUCCACGUUUUAAAUGCACUCCUUACUUGCUGGUAACAAAACUUCCCAUUACUACAAAGAAAUACAUAUUAUACCUCAAACAUGCUUCACUGAGCUUGGAGAGUAAAGAUAAAAUAAUCUUUUUAUAGCAAAUAGGAAUGAAUACUUAAAAAUAAUAAAAAGUUGGUGAAUAUUCAUUUGAA